rnacentral:rRNA from 1 species
AACGAACGCUGGCGGCAGGCUUAACACAUGCAAGUCGAACGCCCCGCAAGGGGAGUGGCAGACGGGUGAGUAACGCGUGGGAACAUACCCUUUCCUGCGGAAUAGCUCCGGGAUACUGGAAUUAAUACCGCAUACGCCCUACGGGGGAAAGAUUUAUCGGGGAAGGAUUGGCCCGCGUUGGAUUAGCUAGUUGGUGGGGUAAAGGCCUACCAAGGCGACGAUCCAUAGCUGGUCUGAGAGGAUGAUCAGCCACAUUGGGACUGAGACACGGCCCAAACUCCUACGGGAGGCAGCAGUGGGGAAUAUUGGACAAUGGGCGCAAGCCUGAUCCAGCCAUGCCGCGUGAGUGAUGAAGGCGUUAGGGUUGUAAAGCUCUUUCACCGAUGAAGAUAAUGACGGUAGUCGGAGAAGAAGCCCCGGCUAACUUCGUG